GUCAAUGAACGCCAGUGAUCUUGAUCCCUCCUGGUCCAACCCAUAACUUGCGGCAGCAUGCUGCCUCGCCACUGCCACAGGCUGACCACACCGGAAGCCGAAAGCUUCUGAAAUAGGUAAAUCCUACCACCAAAACAUAUAAACCCUACUAUUAUUUCCUUUUUCUUUUGAAAUUUUAGUGGUUUAUGGAUUAGCAAGAUAAUAUGUGGAUCAAAACUGUAAAACUAACCUUUCCAAAAAGACGGUAAAAAAAACAAUCAGGACGCUACAUGUCAGUUAGCUUCCCCUGCCUUCUAGUCUUGAUGCUUUUCAUGGCGUGACUGUAACAUCCCAAAAUUUCAAACUAAAAGGUUAAUCAAAUUCAAAAACUUAGUUUCAAAUUUCAAUCUGAGCUCUAAUCCAACUAGGCUCAAGGCCCAACUUCUACCUUUCCUAAUUCGCCCCCAUCACUCUUUCUUUUUCCUUUCUCUUCCUCCUGGCCCAACUAAGCCAACCCAACCCAUCCAUCCGGCCCAACUCCUUAGUAGGCCCACAUUAGGAAGCCCAAAUUACUGUCAAAAACUUUAGUUUGGCUAAAAAAAACGUGCAUAUGCCCUACCCAAAUUUGACAUUAAUGUUCAUGCUUUAGCUAUAGGGUUGUGCGCAAAUAAACAAGCCCUUGUAGCAUUCCUAAAAAAAGCCCUAGUAGCAGCAAUCACAAUAUCUCCGCUUCACAAUCAAUGAAUCAAACCACCAACAUCUCGAACGAAAUUGGAGCAAUCAGACCCUGCAUUUCAGUGUCCACUUUUCCUCUUGCAAAUCCC
rnacentral:lncRNA from 1 species